rnacentral:rRNA from 1 species
GUGUCAGCAGCCGCGGUAAGACAGAGGCCCCGAGCGUUAGGCGGAAUCACUGGGCUUAAAGCGUGUGUAGGCGGACGCCUAAGUGUCUUGUGAAAUCCCACGGCUCACCCGUGGAACCGCUGGGCAUACUGGGCGUCUUGGGCCGUUCAGGGGCGACUGGAACAAGCGGUGGAGCGGUGAAAUGCGUAGAUAUCGCUUGGAACGCCGAAGGUGAAAACAGGUCGCUGGGGACGCGCCGACGCUGAGACACGAAAGCCAGGGGAGCAAACGGGAUUAGAUACCCGGGUAGUCC